rnacentral:lncRNA from 1 species
CAGCAAAACCUCAUUAAUUCAUAACUCAAAAUAUGCUUGACUCAAUUACUUAUUCACCUUACAAAUGCUUCAAUAAUGAUAAAAUAGCAAACACAUAACACAUGGUAAGACUAAAUAAAUACAAAAUCUAAUAAUACAAAAUAGAUUGCAAUGAAACAUUGUACUAUCAAACGUCCUCAUUUUCAAUUUCAACAUGUCAUUUGAGGUCUAAAGCGUACCUGAAUACAACAAAAUAACAAAGGAAAUAAGCUUGGAGCUUAAGAAGAAAUAGCAGCAAUAAUUCAGCUAAAGACGAAGUAACAACAGUAACUUAAGCAAAACCAAACAGCAACAAAAUCAGCAGAUCAGCCUCAAACUCUUGAACUAACUCCAAACAUUUGAACCCAGAUUCACCAUUCUAUUGAACUUUUAGAAAUUCUGAAUUAUCAAAGGGAAUUAGAACCCAAAAACCAAGCAAAAUUCAAGCAAUUCUCAGUACUUUGAACUUGAAAGAAAACUCAGCCGUUUUUAAAGUUUCAGUGCUUUUUCCUCUCUCCUCCUCUGGCUUGAUUAAGAAAUAACACCCUUUUAUAGAGAAACUCUAGGGCAGCAGAAAUGAUUUUAGUUUUUUGCCCAUUACUCCUUUUCGAAUUUUUGUUUUUGCUAGUGAAUCCUUAAUUUUAAAAUCUGUUUGCUAGGUCAGUCCCUAACCCACCUUCCUAGAAAUUUUCUAAGUCAGUUACUGAAGAUUCCCCAUGAUUAAAUUCCUAAACUAACCUUUCAGACCCUUGUAAAUUACCAUCAAACCAACCUAGGUCAAGUUGACCCAAGACAAACCAGACAUGGACUUUCAAAAACCUGGACCAACCCCUCCUUUUGGGCCUCUGUCUGACAGAGCUAAAUUCAAGUCAACAUCAAAACUCACGAAAUUAAAGGGCUAAACAGAGUUGCCCAAAAAGCAGAAGACUUUGAAAAUGAAACCAAAAACAAAAAAGGAGAAAGGAGCUAAUUAAAACUAAACGUAAAAACCAAAACAAACACAACUAAAACUUGCUCUUAAUCUAAUUACAACAAACACUAAUUAAAAAAUGAAAAAGUAAUAAAUGAAAAGAACGGAGGAGACAGAAAGAGAUGGAGAUGGAAGAAGAAUAAAAGAAACGGAAAGAACAAAAGAAAGAGAGUACCUACAGAAGACCGAAAAUGGUCAUGGAUUGAAAGAACUCGGAUGUUUCGAUUUUGAGCCGAACUUGGCAUCAAUCAUGUGUUCUUGUCAAGAACAGACAAGCAAGGCCAGUUUCGACUCCUAAUCUCUUGUCAAAACUAAGAAAUUUGAGGGAUUUCUUGUUUUCCUCUUUUGCCUUUUCAGAUCCAAAAACGGCUCAGUUUGGUGAUGAUUUUGGGGAUAUUAGUAAUGGAUUAGGGGUCAGGGGUGAGCGGGGGUCUUGGGGUGUGAAUUUAGUGGUGGUUCAAGGUGGCGCCACCGGCUGGAGAUGGUGGAGAAUUUAGGGCGGCGCUAGGGUUCAUGGAGAAGAUGAGAGAACUGAAAAGGGGUGUUUGGAACUAACGUUGUCUUUGGGGGGGGUUUGGACAUUUUUAUGUAAUUGUG